GAUAUCUGCGCAGUAUUCACUCAGCCCAUCACAGUUAUGUGAUUGUGUGCCGGGUGUCAAUCUGCCAUCCUUCUAGUUUCUUAUUAUGAGAUGAAUAAUCGCAUUAUAAGUGACUAGAUCUUUUACUUUGAAAAAAUUAGAGUGUUUAAAGCAGGCUUUUUCGGCUAUGAAUAGAUUAGCAUGGAAUAAUAAUUUAGGACAUUGGUCUUAUUUUGUUGGUUUUUAGGAUCGAUGUAAAUCUUGAUAGGAACAGUUGGGGGUGCUAGUAUUCAGUGGCCAGAGGUGAAAUUCUUGGAUUCCCUGAAGACUAACUUAUGCGAAAGCAUU
rnacentral:rRNA from 1 species